rnacentral:rRNA from 1 species
UACGGAGGGUGCAAGCGUUAUCCGGAUUCACUGGGUUUAAAGGGUGCGUAGGCGGGUAAGUAAGUCCGUGGUGAAAUCUCUGAGCUUAACUCAGAAACUGCCGUGGAUACUAUUUGCCUUGAAUACUGUGGAGGUGAGCGGAAUAUGUCAUGUAGCGGUGAAAUGCUUAGAUAUGACAUAGAACACCAAUUGCGAAGGCAGCUCACUACACAAUCAUUGACGCUGAGGCACGAAAGCGUGGGGAUCAAACAGG